rnacentral:rRNA from 1 species
AGAGUUUGAUCAUGGCUCAGAACAAACGCUGGCGGCGUGCCUAAUACAUGCAAGUCGAACGGGGAAAGUUCUUCGGAAUGAGUACUAGUGGCGUACGGGUGAGCAACACGUGGAUAAUCUUCCUUCAGGUGGGGAAUAACGAGUCGAAAGAUUCGCUAAUACCGCAUAAGACCACAGUAACUUUGGUUACAGGGGUUAAAGACUUCGGUCGCCUUUAGAUGAGUCUGCGUCCGAUUAGCUAGUUGGUGAGGUAAUGGCUCACCAAGGCGACGAUCGGUAACUGGUCUGAGAGGACGGCCAGUCACACUGGGACUGAGACACGGCCCAGACUCCUACGGGAGGCAGCAGUAGGGAAUUUUGCACAAUGGAGGAAACUCUGAUGCAGCGACGCCGCGUGAGUGAUGAAGGCCUUCGGGUCGUAAAGCUCUGUUCUCAGGGAAUAAAAAAUGAAGGUACCUGAGGAGAAAGGACCGGCUAACUUCGUG